rnacentral:lncRNA from 1 species
GGUCCAGCAGCAUCACUAUCAUCUUCAGUACCGUCAUCAUCGUGCACUACUUCAUUCGGAUCACCCUCUCCAUGUCAUAUCCAAUGCGUAUUCUUCUUAUCCAUACCAUAAUGUAGCAUAUGCUCUUCAACAAGUAUUAUAUGAUGAUAUAUCAAAUAUCGAACUCCUUUUCAAUAUUCAGAUAAAAAAAUAUCUCUAGC